rnacentral:rRNA from 1 species
GGAUCAUUAUUGAAAUAAAUCUGGCGGGUUGCUGCUGGUUCUCUAGGGAGCAUGUGCACACUUGUCAUCUUUAUAUCUCCACCUGUGCACCUUUUGUAGACCUGGAUCUCUCUCUGAAUGCUAGCCAUUCAGGAUUGAGGAUUGACUUCAUGUCUCUCCUUCCAUUUCCAGGCCUAUGUUUCUUCAUAUACUCUAAUGUAUGUUAUAGAAUGUAAUCAAUGGCCUUUGUGCCUAUAAACCUAUACAACUUUCAGCAACGGAUCUCUUGGCUCUCGCAUCGAUGAAGAACGCAGCGAAAUGCGAUAAGUAAUGUGAAUUGCAGAAUUCAGUGAAUCAUCGAAUCUUUGAACGCACCUUGCGCUCCUUGGUAUUCCGAGGAGCAUGCCUGUUUGAGUGUCAUUAAUAUAUCAACCUCUUCAGCUUUUGCUUGUUGAGUGUUGGAUGUGGGGGUCUUUUUUGCUGGUCUUCUCAGGUCAGCUCCCCUGAAAUGCAUUAGCGGAACAAUUUGUGGACCGUUCAUUGGUGUGAUAACUAUCUACGCUAUUGACGUGAAGCAGGUUCAGCUUCUAACAGUCCAUUGACUUGGACAAAUUUUCAUUAAUGUGACCUCAAAUCAGGUAGGACUACCCGCUGAACUUAAGCAUAUCAAUAAGCGGAGGAAAAGAAACUAACAAGGAUUCCCCUAGUAACUGCGAGUGAAGCGGGAAAAGCUCAAAUUUAAAAUCUGUCAGU